UGGGGAGUCGUCCAACGGCAGGACAGCAGACUCUGGAUCUGUUUAUCGGGGUUCGAAUCCCUGCUCCCCAGCUA
rnacentral:tRNA from 1 species